rnacentral:rRNA from 1 species
UGGGGAAUAUUGCACAAUGGGCGCAAGCCUGAUGCAGCCAUGCCGCGUGUGUGAAGAAGGCCUUCGGGUUGUAAAGCACUUUCAGCGAGGAGGAAGGCAGUCGUGUUAAUGGCACGGUUGAUUGACGUUACUCGCAGAAGAAGCACCGGCUAACUCCGUGCCAGCAGCCGCGGUAAUACGGAGGGUGCAAGCGUUAAUCGGAAUUACUGGGCGUAAAGCGCACGCAGGCGGUUUGUUAAGUCAGAUGUGAAAUCCCCGCGCUUAACGUGGGAACUGCAUUUGAAACUGGCAAGCUAGAGUCUUGUAGAGGGGGGUAGAAUUCCAGGUGUAGCGGUGAAAUGCGUAGAGAUCUGGAGGAAUACCGGUGGCGAAGGCGGCCCCCUGGACAAAGACUGACGCUCAGGUGCGAAAGCGUGGGGAGCAAACA